AGAUUUUGACCAGAUUUUUCUUUCUAUUUUGCAGAUUGCGAGUCCAGUAACAACAAACAAAAAUCAAUUUGAAGGAUCAAAAGCAAAAAUUAGGGUUUGUCUUUAUUUGGUCAGAUUCAUUCAGGUUAACGUCCCGGACGGUUAACGUGGCGUGUUGCUAUUGGACACUCGCUUAUAUGGUGGUUGUUGUAGUAUGUUCUAGUGAUGUGUGCCCGUGACUACUCGUGUUGCUUUAGAUUUUCGUGAUUUUUAAGGAUUUUUAUUAACGAGUUGUUAAAUAA